UACGUAGGGUCCGAGCGUUGUCCGGAAUUAUUGGGCGUAAAGGGCUCGUAGGCGGUCUGUUGCGUCGGGAGUGAAAACUUACAGCUUAACUGUGAGCGUGCUUCCGAUACGGGCAGACUUGAGGUAUUCAGGGGAACACGGAAUUCCUGGUGUAGCGGUGAAAUGCGCAGAUAUCAGGAGGAACACCGAUGGCGAAGGCAGUGUUCUGGGCCAGUACUGACGCUGAGGAGCGAAAGCGUGGGGAGCAAACAGG
rnacentral:rRNA from 1 species